rnacentral:tRNA from 1 species
AUUUUAUUAGUAUAAUUUAGUAUUUUUAAUUUCCAAUUAAAAGGUUUGUUUAUUAAAUAAAAUA